UACGGAGGGGGCUAGCGUUGUUCGGAAUUACUGGGCGUAAAGCGCGCGUAGGCGGACCUGCAAGUCGGGGGUGAAAGCCCGAGGCUCAACCUCGGAACUGCCUUCGAUACUGCGGGUCUCGAGUCCGGGAGAGGUGAGUGGAACUCCGAGUGUAGAGGUGAAAUUCGUAGAUAUUCGCAAGAACACCAGUGGCGAAGGCGGCUCACUGGCCCGGUACUGACGCUGAGGUGCGAAAGCGUGGGGAGCAAACAGG
rnacentral:rRNA from 1 species